UACGUAGGUGACAAGCGUUGUCCGGAUUUAUUGGGCGUAAAGGGCGCGCAGGCGGUUCGUUAAGUCCGAGGUGAAAUCUCCCGGCUCAACUGGGAGGGGUCUUCGGAUACUGGCGGACUUGAGGAGAGCAGAGGUGAGUGGAAUUCUCGGUGUAGUGGUGAAAUGCGUAGAUAUCGAGAGGAACACCAGUGGCGAAGGCGACUCACUGGGCUCCACCUGACGCUGAGGCGCGAAAGCGUGGGGAGCGAAC
rnacentral:rRNA from 1 species